rnacentral:rRNA from 1 species
UACGUAGGGUGCAAGCGUUGUCCGGAAUUAUUGGGCGUAAAGAGCGCGUAGGCGGACAGUUAAGUUGGGGGUGAAAGCCCGGGGCUCAACCUCGGAAUUGCCUUCAAUACUGGCUGUCUUGAGUGUGAGAGAGGUGUGUGGAACUCCGAGUGUAGAGGUGAAAUUCGUAGAUAUUCGGAAGAACACCAGUGGCGAAGGCGACACACUGGCUCACUACUGACGCUGAGGCGCGAAAGCGUGGGGAGCAAACAGG